GAUGAACGCUGGUGGCGUGCCUAACACAUGCAAGUCGAGCGAUUUACUUCGGUAAAGAGCGGCGGACGGGUGAGUAACGCGUGGGUAACCUGCCCUGUACACACGGAUAACAUACCGAAAGGUAUGCUAAUACGAGAUAAUAUACUUUUAUCGCAUGGUAGAAGUAUCAAAGCUUUUGCGGUACAGGAUGGACCCGCGUCUGAUUAGCUAGUUGGUAAGGUAACGGCUUACCAAGGCGACGAUCAGUAGCCGACCUGAGAGGGUGAUCGGCCACAUUGGAACUGAGACACGGUCCAAACUCCUACGGGAGGCAGCAGUGGGGAAUAUUGCACAAUGGGCGAAAGCCUGAUGCAGCAACGCCGCGUGAGCGAUGAAGGCCUUCGGGUCGUAAAGCUCUGUCCUCAAGGAAGAUAAUGACGGUACUUGAGGAGGAAGCCCCGGCUAACUACGUGCCAGCAGCCGCCGUAAGAC
rnacentral:rRNA from 1 species